UUUUAAUGCGGCCAUGACAACAUUUGUCUGUAAAUAGAGCAAAGAUUGAUAGAAUGCAAAGAGGUUGUAUGAAGGCUGUUACGACGACUGGAAGACACCGGAGGAAAGGACAACACAAAGUGGUCAAGUGAAGAAGAAUAGUGGCUAUGAGACUGCUUCGAGUCUGUGGUCUAGGCCAUGUUCAAGGACUCAUCAGAGGACCUGAAUGAAAAGCGAAGUCAUCACGGACAAAUGUGUCUCCACAAAUUCAUUCACAGUUUUCCCCAACCAGAAGCCCUAGAUGAACCAAGUGAUUCAAAAUCUGCUGAGGACUAGAUUGGUAGGGUUGAGGACCGAAAAUCCAGGAAAGCACAAGAGGUCCAGAUAUGACCUCCUGAAUGCCAUCUCCCACGCAAAGUGGUAAUUCUGGAUUAAACUUGAAUCACGGAGGGAUGCUGCACAACUAUGGCAGGACUUGAAUGCCAUCACCUCCUACAAAGCAAAACCAAGUAACCUAAAUGGCAAUGAGAUUUCAGUCCUAGAUGAGCUGAAUGCCUCUUCUGCUCAUGUUGACUGACAGAUCAUAGGGGAACAUUCAUGAACACCCACGGCCCCCAACGAUCCUUGAUCUCAGUCUCUGAGGUCAUAGUGAAAGUAUCCUUCAGGAGUGUGAAUCCACAGAAAGCAUCUGGCCCAGACUGUUAAACUGGUUGAGUACUGAAGACCUGUGCUAAUCAACUGGCUGGACUGUUAACAGACAACUUCAAUCUCUCAGUUCAGCAGUCUGAGGUAUCCACCUGUUUCAAGCAGGCUUCAAUCAUUCUGGUGCCCAAGAAUGCAGAAACCUGUCUUAAUGACCAUCUCCAGUAGCAUUUACAUCCACUACAAUGAAGGUUGGUUAUGAAGCAGAUCAUCUCCUGCCUGAGGAGUCACAUGGAUCCACUCCAAUUUUCCUACUGUCACAACAGGUCAACAGCAAAUGCCAUUUCAUUGGCUCUUCACUGAGCUCUGGGACAUCUGAACAAUGAAGUUGCCAACAUCAGAAUGCCCUUCAUUGACCACAGCUCAGCACUCAACACUAUUAUCCUCUCAAAGCUCAUCACUAAGCUCCAAGAUCUAGCCAAAAUUACACCCUGUGGAUGACUUCCUCACUGGGAGACUUCACACUCACCAUCAGCACACUUGUUUAGCCCCCUGUUUUAAUAACUUUACACCAAUGACUGUGUGGCUAAGUACAGCUCCAAUACCAUAUUUAAAUUUGCUGACGAUACCACUCUUACUGGCCAAAUCAAAGAUGGUGAUGAAUUGGCAUUUGGGAGGGAGAUUCAAAAUCUGGUUGAGUGGUGCCACCACAACAACAACAACCUCUCAGUCAACAAAACCAAAGAACUAGCCAUUGACUAUAGGAGGAAGAAGCCUGAGGUCCACAAGGCAGUCCUCAUUAGAGGAUCAGAGAUGGAGAAGAUUCAGAUCAUACAUUCCUACAGCAGGAAAGUCAUGAAGCAUAGAAAUGGACCUGUUGGCCUGUCAUAUAUAGACCACAACAACACACACAAAAUGCUGGAGAAACUCAGGUCAGGCAACAUCUAUGUAAAAGAAUAAAAGGAAGUAAAGGAAGGGGGGGAGGUGUCAGAAUGAAAAGGUGGGGGAGAGGAAGAAGGAAAAGUGAGAAGCUGAUUGGUGAAGCCAGGUGGGUGGGAAAGGUAAAGGCAUGGAGAAGAAGGAAACUGUUAAGAGACAACAGCAAACCAUACAGAAAGGGAAGGAGGAAGGGAGGUGAUAGGCAGGUGAGGAGGAGAGGUAAGAGGCAAAAGUAGAGAACAGAAGAGGAAAGGGGGAAGGGGAAUGAAAAAAAAUACUGGAAAGAGAUAUCAAAGCUCAUGGCAUCAGGCUGAA